GACGAACGCUGGCGGCGUGCUUAACACAUGCAAGUCGAACGAAGUGGCGAACGGGUGAGUAACGCGUAAUCAACCUGCCCUUCAGGGGGGGACAACAGUUGGAAACGACUGAUAAUACAGCAUACUGAAGGAGGGGAUUGCGUCUGAUUAGCUAGUAGGAGGGGUAACGGCCCACCAAGGCGAUGAUCAGUAGCCGGUCUGAGAGGAGUGACGGCCACAAUGGGACUGAUGAACGGCCCAGACUCCCACGGGGGGCAGCCGUGGGGAAUUUUCCGAAAUUGACGGAAGUCUGACGGAGCAACGCCGGGUGAGGGAUGACGGCCUUCGGGGUGUAAAGCUCUGUUAAUCGGGACGCGGUACCGGAAUAGAAAGCAACGGCUAACUACGUGCCAGCAGCCGCGGUAAUUC
rnacentral:rRNA from 1 species